CGAGAUUUUUCAUUUUUCAUUUUUCAUUUUUUUUCUCUCUUUUCCGCUCCUGCCUCUUUUCUCUUCUCUUUUAUGUUCAAUCGAUUAACCGAGUAAUAGAAACCUCUCUUCUUUUCUCCAUCAUCUUCAAUCAUAAAUCUGUGGUUUGAAGUACUGAAGAACUUUGAAGAAUUUCUGCCAACUUAGAAGGUAUAUUCGAUUCUGAGAAGGAAUUAUGGAUUGAGUAUGUUGUUGUGGUGUUGUAAAGACAGGAUUCAGAAUUUUAGGUUUUAUUUCUUCCCGUUCAUUCUCUCACUGAAUCGAGAGCUGCUGCAUACGGUUCAUGCCGGGUAGGCUAUGGUCUCAGGGAGUUUUCACGGAGGGUUAUGACAAGUUCAUACAGGGGAGAAGUUUGCAGAGUCUGUGAUCGAAAUGUGAGAAUUUGGUGGAAUUUCAUGGACGUAAAUCAGAUGAAUGAAAGGGGAUCUGAAGCUGUUGAUCAGAUGGGUUUUUGAUGGCCGUGCUUGAAGAAAUAGAAGCUCGAGAUGAACAUGGAAGUUGAGUUACGCGAGUUACAGAAUUUUGGGUUGUAUUUGAACCCGAAAAAACAUCUCUAAUUCUGCUUUGUCCUUACAACAACUGCAUUUCAUUGUCCUCAGCAAGUGUUUGCAAAGUUGCCUGAACUAACAAAAACAAGAAGGAUUCAGCUUGUUCUCUGUUAAUCGAUUGUGAGGCAGUAAGCUGAGGAUUUGAAGAGAUUUCAUAUAGCAAGAAGAGCUGAGAAAGAGCAACUUUGGUUGUUUUCUGUGUAUGUAAAGUAAGGACAAUGAUUCAGCUAAUCAUCUUGUGCUGACGCUGUAAGGGAUUUUGUGCUCGAGAUUACAAUCCCCAUUGUCAAGAGAGUUAAGGGAAGAAGUAUGGGAAGGUGAUUAUGGAGCUGUGUUUGUCAAGAGGCUUGUAGACUUUGUGCAGGUAUGAGAGAAGAGAAGGAUGAAACUGAAUGGGAUCGUUGUUGUCUAACCAUGGUCUUGGCGGUUCUCGACAUAAAAGUAGAAGUAGCUGAGUGAUGGUGGCUUUGCAGAGACGGAAUGGUGGUGAAGUUGAAUUUUUACAGACAUCAAGAAGAAGAGAUGGUGCUCUUGGUCAUUGGCAGUAAGUGGUGAAGGGUUAUAGUAAGAAGAUGGACAGGGUUUUGAUGUCAAGAUACACAGUUUGAAGCUUAGUUUCCAGCGAGAAGAUAGGGUGAUAUUUGUUGUUGUUGUCAUGAAUGUAUGUGAGCUGUGAUUGUCAUCUCAACUGGAGGAACCAAAAUAUUGAUGCUGCUGAGCUAUGGAGGAGGUUCAAAUGGGUUCGAACCUAAUGAUGGGACUGGAAUGAGGCUGUGUUGCUUCCAAGACAAACCUAGUCUUGUAGUUUUGCGGUGGAAAUAUUGGAGUAUGGUGGGUAAUUAGGAAGCAAGGAAGAAGGGAAGAAACAACCAGUGGGAUCCAGGUUUGGUGCAGUGGUUAACCCUGGCUCAAGGCUCAGUUCAGGAGUUGUCUGGAAUUGGCUAGGAUCAGACUUAGAAGGCCACAGGAUAUGGAGACUUGGCCGCAAAUUUAUCUUAGUUUUGAAAGGAGUUUAUUGCCGUGAAAACUUCUCAUAAGUGCUGUCUUUGCCGCUGCUUAUUGAGAUGAAUGACUGUGAUUGUCUUAGAGUUUAUAUUGAGUAAGGAAAGUGAGUGUGUUUAGGUUACGAAAGUGGAGGGACAUAAAAGCUAUAAGAGGAGGCGCAGGAAUAGAGAAGACCUACCUCUUCCUGACCAGUUUUGUGCUUGCAGAUUGUUCAGAGAAUGGAAACCGCUGCUAAGACAGCUGGGGAGAAUGCAUAACGUUGCUGAGUGGUGGAGUUAUCCCUCAUCAGCUUAGUGAUUCCUUCAAAUUUUGCUCUCUUAGUUCGUUUUUAAUAUUCAUUUUAUGCCGUUAAUUUUAUGGUUCCUUACAAGUUCAGGUGCCGAAUGGUGGAGUCAGCACUCAUCAGCUUGGGAUAUCGAUACCUUUGCUGAGUUGGAUAUCAUUUAUUUCCAGAUCGUGGUGCCAUGUGACCGCAGUAAUUGAUAGUGUUGGUGCUGAAACAAGGCAUGUCAGGACACCGUUGGUGGUCGAAACGGCCAAUCGAGGCAGGUUUUUCAGUUUGAUUUUGCAUUUGAGUGGAUGAAUUUGGAGUAUCAGCAAUGCCCAACGAUUGCUCCUCCCUCACGCACUCUUUUAAGUAACCUUAUUGCAAUGGUCUCCUCUUGAUAUUGUGCCAUUUUAGGUCAUUGAGUAUUAUUGGAGCAGUUGAGGCGAAGUGUUCAGAUUUGAUACAAAAACAGUAGCAAGAGAAGGAAAAGAUCGUUAUGUGAGUCUGUUUUUGUUAUAUCUUAGAUUUCAUAUGCUAUAUCUUUUUUUUAUCCUCCAUAAUUGCUCAAACCAACUGAACCUGGUUUUGCAUGAGUCAUAUUAUUAUUUUUUAUUUGAGUUUCAACACAGAAUUUGUAUUCCGUUAAACAUUGGAACUCUCUCAAGUAUUAAACUACCUGAAAGAAUGUAGAAAGAAUAGA